rnacentral:rRNA from 1 species
UUCCCGGGCCUUGUACACACCGCCCGUCACACCACGAAAGUUGGCAAUACCCGAAGCCGGUGGCCUAACCCGCAGGGGAGGGAGCCGUCGAAGGUAGGGUUGAUGAUUGGGGUG